UCAAAUGGAAGGCAAUCUAAGUUCGCCGCGUUCUGCGACAACGAUUGCAUGACCUACAUCCCUGUGGG
rnacentral:sRNA from 1 species